GACGAACGCUGGCGGCGUGCCUAAUACAUGCAAGUUGAGCGCUGAAGGUUGGUUCUUGUACCAACUGGAUGAGCAGCGAACGGGUGAGUAACGCGUGGGGAAUCUGCCUUUGAGCGGGGGACAACAUUUGGAAACGAAUGCUAAUACCGCAUAAAAACUUUAAACACAAGUUUUAAGUUUAAAAGAUGCAAUUGCAUCACUCAAAGAUGAUCCCGCGUUGUAUUGGCUAGUUGGUGAGGUACAGGCGCACGAAGGCGGGGAUACAUAGCCGACCUGAGAGGGUGGUCGGCCACAUUGGGACUGAGACACGCCCCAAUGUCCUACGGGAGGCAGCAGUAGGGAUUCUUCGGCAAUGGGCGAAAGUCUGACCGAGCAACGCCGCGUGAGUGAAGAGGAUUUUCGGAUCGUAGAACUCUGUUGGUAGAGAAGAACGUGGGUGAGAGUGGAAAGAUCAUCGAGUGACGGUAACUACCCAGAAAGGGACGGCUAACUACGUG
rnacentral:rRNA from 1 species